UUUAUUUGGUAAAGAUUUUCUUAACUCUUUCUUGAACUACAUUGUUGGUUGAAGGCUUGUAAGUAAGCAUUUCACGGUAAGGUCAACUCCUGUUGUAUUCGGCGCAUGUGACGAAUAAAGUUUGAUUUGAUUUGACUAACUUAGUGAAGACAGGAUUCAAAGACACUAUGUUGUCACACCAGGCUUACGCAUGUGUGUGUGUCAGGUCUGAGGUGGGCUCUCCAACCCAGUGGGCUGAGAGAGUUGAGCAGGGAGGCCCGAGGGAGACUUCAGCCUCUGUUGGACCAGGCCCUGCAGAUGGGAGCUGCUGCCUCUCAGACCCGGGACAGAAAGGCCACAUCGUCACUGAGGCAUUGACUGUCUGAGCAGGCGACAGACAGAGCUGCAGAGUGUGCUGAGGUGCUGAGUGAGGACCUGCUAGAGGAGCUGCUGGCCGAUGCAGUGCGGGCCACCUGGGUGGCGGAGACAGACAGACAGACGGACGGAGGGUUUGGCCCAGCGCCAGCUCCAGGCCCCCACCCUGGAGAGCAUGCUGCUGUGCAUGGAGGAGAAAGACCAGGAAGCUGUGAGGAGGCGCUUUGCUACCAUCACAUACUCAGACCCUCACUACUGGGACAAAGGGGACACAACUGGGCCCCAGAGGCCUGCUCCAGGCCAGUCUCUCCUCAGCCCGUUAGGAUCACCAGGCCAACACUGAGACACACCACCAUGGCUGACAUUGUCCUGGAGAGCCCUGUGGAGACCGGGUGUUUUUUCAUCUGGUGUUGCCAAAGCACUCUUUUCUGUGAAUAGUCCUAUGCAUAGAAUUCAAUAGAACAUUGUGUAUUGUUACAGUAUCUGUAUGUUAAUAUGUUUGUUUUGUAGUAAUCACCAUGCAAUACUGCAGCCACCAUCUUAGAGAAAGCUUCAAGCACUGUCUGAGUUUAAUGGGUUGAUGUAUGGACAGAUGGUUUGAGAAGCAGAUAGAUAUUAAUAAGGAAUAUAUUACAUUAUAUACUCGGUGGUUCGAGCCCUGAAUGCUGAUUUGUCUGACAGCCGUGGUAUAUCCACGGGU